rnacentral:rRNA from 1 species
GUCUUUAAGUUUAAAAUUUAAAGUCUAAUCUGCCCACUGAUUUAAUUAAAUGGCCGCAGUAAUUUGACUGUGCGAAGGUAGCAUAAUAAUUAGUUUUUUAAUUGAAAGCUAGCAUGAAUGAUUGGACGAGAAAAUGACUUUCUUAUAUUAAUUUAAUUAGAAUUUUAUUUUUAAGUUAAAAAGCUUAACUAAAUUUGAAAGACGAGAAGACCCUAUAGAGUUUUAUAUUAUUAUAUUUUAUAUUUUAUUGAAUUUUUAAAAUUAAUUUAAAAAUAAUAUUUUAUUGGGGUGAUGAAAAAAUUUAUUUAACUUUUUUUAUAUUUUAUCAAUAAUUAUUGAUUUUAUGAUCCUAAAUUUUAGAUUAAAAGAUUAAAUUACCUUAGGGAUAACAGCGUAAUUUUUUUAUAGAGUUCUUAUCGAUAAAAAAGAUUGCGACCUCGAUGUUGGAUUAAGAUAAAUUUUUAAUGUAGAAGUUAAAAUAUUAAGUCUGUUCGACUUUUAAAAUCUUACAUGAUCUGAGUUCAAACCGGAGAAGGGC